rnacentral:miRNA from 1 species
AAAUGACCAAAAUACCCCUAGAAC